rnacentral:rRNA from 1 species
CCUACGGGUGGCAGCAGUGGGGAAUAUUGCACAAUGGGGGCAACUCUGAUGCAGCGACGCCGCGUGCGCGAGGACGUAUUUCUGUAUUGAAAGCUCUAUCAGUAGGGACGAAAAAAGACGGUACCUGACUAAGAAGCCCCGGCUAACUACGUGCCAGCAGCCGCGGUAAGACGUAGGUGGCAAGCGUUAUCCGGAUUUACUGGGGGUAAAGGGAGCGUAGGCGGGAAGGCAAGCCAGAAGUGAAAGGGCAGGGCUCAACCCUGUACAUGCUUUUGAAACUGGGCUGCUAGAGUGCAGGAGAGGUAAGUGGAAUGCCUAGUGUAGCGGUGAAAUGCGUAGAUAUUAGGCGGAACACCAGUGGCGAAGGCGGCUUACUGGACUGCAUCUGACGUUGAGGCUCGAAAGCGUGGGGAGCAAACAGGAUUAGAUACCCCGGUAGUC